rfam:Angiostrongylus costaricensis strain Costa Rica genome assembly, scaffold: ACOC_scaffold0002552
GGGGGAAUAGCUCAGCGGUAGAGCGCUCGCUUAGCAUGCGAGAAGUCUGGGGUUCGAUUCCCCAUACCUCCA